CUAAACGUACUCAGUUCGGAUUGCAGGCUGCAACCCGCCUGCAUGAAGCCGGAAUCGCUAGUAAUCGCAGAUCAGAAUGCUGCGGUGAAUACGUUCCCGGGUCUUGUACACACCGCCCGUCACACCAUGGGAGUCAGCAACGCCCGAAGUCAGUGACCUAACCGAAAGGGAGGAGCUGCCGAAGGCGGGGCCGGUAACUGGGGUGAAGUCGUAACAAGGUACC
rnacentral:rRNA from 1 species